ACAAGAGGCUCCCUGUCUGGGCUCUGAUUGGACAGCCGGAUGAAGUCUGGCCUCUGACUGGUCUUCACCUCAUCCUCCACCUGGACAGACACAAUCACACACCAUCAAGUCAACCAUCACUCUUCACCUCAGGACAUACUGAGGUGACCUGCAGACUGACGGUGCUCCCCAGCUCCUGAUUGGUCCUGUACAGCCCUGCCUCCACACCUGGGGCCCUCCUUCUCGGGCUACAAGGGGAGGUGUUAACAUCGAGGGAGUGUGUAUUCACCUGCGUGGGAUGGACAGAAGGGCAGUACGACUCCAGCAGUCUCAGGUCCAACAUGGACUUCACCAUCAGGACUCCGUCGCUACCCAUCCUCCUGGACCACUGACGACGUGGGAGUCGACCCCCUGAAGCCUCCUGAGGGUCACAAAGAAACACUGAGGCAUCCUGCUGUGACCAUAUAAGGACAACUACGCUCCUCCUCCUCCUCCUCAUCCUCUUCCUCCUCCUUGUCGCUGUCGGAAGACAUUGUGACGACACGAGGAGACAACACCUCCCUGCUGCAACACACA